GCCAGGCGUGGUGGCUCACGCCUGUAAUCCCAGCACUUUGGGAGGCCGAGGCGGGUGGAUCACCUGAGGUCAGGAGUUUGAGACCAGCCUGGCCAACAUGGUGAAACCCUGUCUCUA
rnacentral:SRP_RNA from 1 species